GUGACUUGAUUCUUCAAUGCCCCGCUGCUC
rnacentral:piRNA from 1 species